GACUUGUAGAUUUUUUUUCUUCUAGUUUUCUGAGACAGGGUUUCUCUUCUCAUAAUGUAGCCAUGGCUGGCCUAGAACUCACUAUGUAGACCAGGCUGGCUUCAAAUACAGAGCUAUCCACCUGCUUCUGCGUCCUGAGUACUGGGAUUAAAGGUGUGUGCCACCA